ACGACUACAAGUUCAGAACAAAAUGAGAGGCCUACCAAGCCAAAAGGAAUGAAGGUUAAGGAGAAGACGGCUCGAGGAUCAGACAGACAUCCAGAUAUAUUUGCAGACCCGAACAUUAACUCGUCUACAAGUUCAGAACAAAAUGAGGGAUUUGCCAAUCCAACAGAACCAAACAUUAACUCAUGUACAAGUUCAAAACAAAAUAAGGGGCUUGCUAAGCCAAAAGGUAUCAAGUUGAAGGAGAAGACUAUUCAAGGAGCAAGUAGACCUAUUGGUGGCUUAGAGAAAGCAAAAUCAAAGAGGAA